rnacentral:rRNA from 1 species
ACGGGCCCGCACAAGCAGCGGAGCGUGUGGUUUAAUUCGAUGCUACACGAAGAACCUUACCAGGGUUUGACAUGCAAGUGGUAGGAAACCGAAAGGCGACGACCCUUCGGGGAGCUUGUACAGGUGCUGCAUGGCUGUCGUCAGCUCGUGUCGUGAGAUGUUCGGUUAAGUCCGCUAACGGGCGCAACCCUCGCUGUGUGUUACAAGUGUCACACGGUACUGCCGGUCUUAAGCCGGAGGAAGGUGGGAUGACGUCAAGUCAGCAUGGCCUUUAUGUCCUGGGCUACACACACGCUACAAUGGCCAACACAAUAGGUUGCUAAGCCGCGAGGUGGAGCCAAUCCUCAAAGUUGGUCUCAGUUCAGAUUGCAGGCUGCAACCCGCCUGCAUGAAGAUGGAGUUGCUAGUAACCGCAGGUCAGCUAUACUGCGGUGAAUACGUUCCGGGGCUU